rnacentral:rRNA from 1 species
AUUGAACGCUGGCGGCAGGCCUAACACAUGCAAGUCGAACGAGUGGCGGACGGGUGAGUAAUGUCUGGGAAACUGCCCGAUGGAGGGGGAUAACUACUGGAGACGGUAGCUAAUACCGCAUACCAUCGGAUGUGCCCAGAUGGGAUUAGCUGGUCGGUGAGGAAACGGCUCACCUAGGCGACGAUCACUAGCUGGUCUGAGAGGAUGACCAGCAACACUGAAACGGAGACACGGUCCAGCCUCCUGCGGGAGGCAGCAGUGGGGAAUAGUUCACAAGGUGCGCAAGCCGGAUGUAGCCAUGCCGCGGGUAUGAAGAAGGCCUUCGGGUUGUAAAGUACUUUCAGCGGGGAGGCGUUACCCGCAGAAGAAGCACCGGCUAACUCCGUGACAGCAGCCGCGGUAAUAC